AUACGGAGGGGGUUAGCGUUGUUCGGAAUUACUGGGCGUAAAGCGCACGUAGGCGGACUGGAAAGUUGGGGGUGAAAUCCCGGGGCUCAACCCCGGAACUGCCUCCAAAACUUCCAAUCUAGAGAUCGAGAGAGGUGAGUGGAAUUCCAAGUGUAGAGGUGAAAUUCGUAGAUAUUUGGAGGAACACCAGUGGCGAAGGCGGCUCACUGGCUCGAUACUGACGCUGAGGCGCGAAAGCGUGGGGAGCAAACAGGAUUAGAAACCCGAGUAGUCC
rnacentral:rRNA from 1 species